GAGGCUGAGGCAGGAGAAUCGCUUGAACCCAGGAGACAGAGGCUGCCUUGAGCUGAGAUCACGCCACUGCACUCCAGCCUGGGCAACAGAGUGAGACCCCAUCUC